CAAUCGGCCCUUUUCAGGGCCAACAUGAUGCGCAAAUCCAACUAA
rfam:Camponotus floridanus CamFlo_1.0_2.contig492, whole genome shotgun sequence.